UGGCUCAGGAUGAACGCUAGCUACAGGCUUAACACAUGCAAGUCGAGGGGAAACGACAUCGAAAGCUUGCUUUUGAUGGGCGUCGACCGGCGCACGGGUGAGUAACGCGUAUCCAACCUGCCCACCACUUGGGGAUAACCUUGCGAAAGUAAGACUAAUACCCAAUGAUAUCUCUAGAAGACAUCUGAAAGAGAUCAAAGAUUUAUCGGUGAUGGAUGGGGAUGCGUCUGAUUAGCUUGUUGGCGGGGUAACGGCCCACCAAGGCGACGAUCAGUAGGGGUUCUGAGAGGAAGGUCCCCCACAUUGGAACUGAGACACGGUCCAAACUCCUACGGGAGGCAGCAGUGAGGAAUAUUGGUCAAUGGGCGAGAGCCUGAACCAGCCAAGUAGCGUGCAGGAUGACGGCCCUAUGGGUUGUAAACUGCUUUUAUAAGGGAAUAAAGUGAGUCUCGUGAGACUUUUUGCAUGUACCUUAUGAAUAAGGACCGGCUAAUUCCGUGCCAGCAGCCGCGGUAAUACGGAAGGUCCGGGCGUUAUCCGGAUUUAUUGGGUUUAAAGGGAGCGUAGGCCGGAGAUUAAGCGUGUUGUGAAAUGUAGAUGCUCAACAUCUGAACUGCAGCGCGAACUGGUUUCCUUGAGUACGCACAAAGUGGGCGGAAUUCGUGGUGUAGCGGUGAAAUGCUUAGAUAUCACGAAGAACUCCGAUUGCGAAGGCAGCUCACUGGAGCGCAACUGACGCUGAAGCUCGAAAGUGCGGGUAUCGAACAGGAUUAGAUACCCUGGUAGUCCGCACGGUAAACGAUGGAUGCCCGCUGUUGGUCUGAAUAGGUCAGCGGCCAAGCGAAAGCAUUAAGCAUCCCACCUGGGGAGUACGCCGGC
rnacentral:rRNA from 1 species